CCUACGGGUGGCAGCAGUGGGGAAUAUUGGGCAAUGGGCGCAAGCCUGACCCAGCAACGCCGCGUGAAGGAAGAAGGCUUUCGGGUUGUAAACCUUUUUUGUCAGGGAAGAGUAGAAGACGGCACGUGACGAAUAAGCCAUGGCUAACUACGUGGCAGCAGCCGCGGGAAUACGUAGGUGGCAAGUGUUGUCCGGAUUUACUGGGUGUAAAGGGCGUGUAGACGGGUUGACAAGUCAGAUGUGAAAUCCUGCGGCUUAACCGCAGAACUGCAUUUGAAACUGUUGAUCUUGAGUACUGGAGAGGCAGACGGAAUGCCUAGUGUAGCGGUGAAAUGCAUAGAUAUUAGGAAGAACACCAGUGGCGAAGGCAGUAUGCUGGACAGCAACUGACGGUGAGGCGCGAAAGCGUGGGGAGCAAACAGGAUUAGAUACCCCAGUAGUC
rnacentral:rRNA from 1 species